rnacentral:rRNA from 1 species
AUUGAACGCUGGCGGCAUGCCUUACACAUGCAAGUCGAACGGCAGCGGACCUUCGGGUGCCGGCGAGUGGCGAACGGGUGAGUAAUAUAUCGGAACGUACCUUUCAGUGGGGGAUAACGUAGCGAAAGUUACGCUAAUACCGCAUAUUCCGUGAGCAGGAAAGCAGGGGAUCGCAAGACCUUGCGCUGAUUGAGCGGCCGAUAUCAGAUUAGCUAGUUGGUGAGGUAAAGGCUCACCAAGGCGACGAUCUGUAGCGGGUCUGAGAGGAUGAUCCGCCACACUGGAACUGAGACACGGUCCAGACUCCUACGGGAGGCAGCAGUGGGGAAUUUUGGACAAUGGGCGCAAGCCUGAUCCAGCCAUGCCGCGUGAGUGAAGAAGGCC